GUGGACGCCAGUCUGCGUGGAGCCGACCUUGAAAUACCACCCUUUAAUGUUUGAUGUUCUAACGUGGACCCGUUACCCGGGUUGCGGACAGUGUCUGGUGGGUAGUUUGACUGGGGCGGUCUCCUCCUAAAGAGUAACGGAGGAGCACGAAGGUUGGCUAAUCCUGGUCGGACAUCAGGAGGUUAGUGCAAUGGCAUAAGCCAGCUUGACUGCGAGCGUGACGGCGCGAGCAGGUGCGAAAGCAGGUCAUAGUGAUCCGGUGGUUCUGAAUGGAAGGGCCAUCGCUCAACGGAUAAAAGGUACUCCGGGGAUAACAGGCUGAUACCGCCCAAGAGUUCAUAUCGACGGCGGUGUUUGGCACCUCGAUGUCGGCUCAUCACAUCCUGGGGCUGAAGUAGGUCCCAAGGGUAUGGCUGUUCGCCAUUUAAAGUGGUACGCGAGCUGGGUUUAGAACGUCGUGAGACAGUUCGGUCCCUAUCUGCCGUGGGCGCUGGAGAACUGAGGGGGGCUGCUCCUAGUACGAGAGGACCGGAGUGGACGCAUCACUGGUGUUCGGGUUGUCAUGCCAAUGGCACUGCCCGGUAGCUAAAUGCGGAAGAGAUAAGUGCUGAAAGCAUCUAAGCACGAAACUUGCCCCG
rnacentral:rRNA from 1 species